CUUGGGAGCUGCUCCUUCCAAUUGCCCUGUGCUCCCAUGUCUCUGAAUGACCCCCAGUGUGGGUCACGAGUAGGCUGAGAUUCCCAACUGGGCUGCCAUCCUGGCAUUGGUGCAGUGGAUGUUGUGGGACUUCCCGGAGCUGCUCUUGCUCAUGGUAUUGCUGUUUUCCCCCUCCCUGAAUCCAUGGAGUCGGCUAGCCCCGGGGACUGCCCCACUUUGGUCCAGGUCUAGUAGCUGGGGGUAGAGGGUGGGGAGAGGAGGAAGGGAGGCACAGGGAACCUUUCAAAUGAAAGAAACCACGCAGAUCAUUUUAAAUGGUAAGUAUUUGUCAGGAUUUUAUUUACCAGGUUCAGAUGGGUGUAAUUUCUCCUUCCAAACACCCUCCCUCUCCCGCGUGGAGGUUGGGGGUGAGGGGAGGAGUUGCAGAGAACCCCCCCGUCUCGGAUUGCUGGAAAGCUGUGCUGCCUGCAGCCUGUUACUACAGAAUCAGUGCAUUCAACUCUGAACCUGACUGCAGCUCUUCUCUCUCGUGUGCAGGACAGUGCAACACUCUCCUGGAAGGAGAGGGAGGGAGAACGUGCUUUGUAGUAUGCACUGUAAUUCUAACACUCUUUAAGGAUGUAAUGCUGAUAAUCUGCUCAGUUCCCAGGAAGCUGGGAGGAAUUCCGGGGCUGCUGUCCAGUAGAUCUGCUGCAGUAACACAAUUGCCUUUUUUGUUAAAGAGAUGAAGAUGCUGAACGUUUUGGUUUUUUUGCCAAGGGUAAAAGCAAAUCUCAGUUGCAAGUGGCUUUGCUAAAACUUGAUCACGGCGGAUUUUAAGCAAUAAGGAGCAGCUGGGUUUCUAUUUACUGCGGUGGGAGCAAGUUGUAGGAUGAAAUCCAGGGAUUAAAAGACCUAUUUUCCACUUUGUUCUUUACAAGGGAAUCUACUGAAAUGACUUUGAGGAUCUUAAGCUUGGAACUAUGUGGCGGGAGAAUGCACCCCCCUUCGCCUCGCUUCCUGCGUGGGUAGCUGCCGCCCUGGGAUGCGAUGCGGAAAGCAGGCUGCGGCCAGGCUCCUGUAUUUGGGACGAGGGAUGGCAGCAGCCCCGGCCCCUUGGUGCUGAGGGUUACGAAAUGCCAAACUUCGCCGCGUGCCAAAUAGCAGCAACUACGUUUUCGGGCAUCCUCGGGGAUAAAGGUGGCAAAGAUGGGGAAAAUUGGCUGUGCUCUGCUGGUACUCCAAGCUCUUCUGGUGCAAUUGGAUCUUGUUCAUGGAGUGGAGAAAAGUUAUCCCAUACUCAACAUUGCAGUAAUUCUGGAGAGGACCAAGCAUGUCACAGAACGAGACAUCCGAGCUCUCUGGAGCAGGGAAAUGUCAGCAGACCUGGCCAUUGAUGUUAAUGUAGUGACCCUUUUGGUGAACCAGACUGACCCCAAAAGCAUUAUAACACAUGUUUGUGACUUGAUGUCAGGCACCAAGAUCCAUGGGGUAGUUUUUGGAGACGAUACUGAUCAAGAGGCAAUAGCUCAGAUUUUGGAUUUUAUUUCAUCUCAGACUUUUAUUCCAAUUCUGGGGAUUCAUGGCGGCUCCUCCAUGAUCAUGGCUGAUAAGGUAGGAAUUUUUAAAAAUUAUUUAAAGCUUUUGUUGCACCAGUGUACCUUCAUUGUGCAUACUAACUUCAGAAUAUGUGCUCUGCAAGCAGCUCAAAGGAGGAUGCCUCUAACAGCCUAUAUUCUGAACUUUAAAACAACAUUAUCCUGCAGUUUUGUACUGAAUUACCACCCAAUCUCUGUAAGAUUUUUUUGUGGGGUUUAUGUCUGCAAUUUGUUUGUUUACAUAAAGAAUGUUCUUACUGACAGUUUAGUUACCCCUAAGCUAGAUUCUGAUCAUUUUAGUCAUGUUAUAUUGAUGAUGACCCCAAAGAUUGAUGGCUUAUUUAACCUAAUUGUAACAAUAAAAUGUUUUGUCCUAUUUUUCAUCUUAAAAGAAAGGCAUAAUAUUAUUGGCAACACUAGAAAGAAGUGCCACACUGGGAAAGAUCACAUGCAAUACACUUGAAUGGAUUUGAUGAGGGUAGUGGUAAUAGAGAACUUAGAGGUUUUUGGUAAAUACUGUACACAGAUAUUCAGUUUAGACUUGAUUUUUCCCCCAUUAAUAGUUUACUGGGAAUUGAC